GAGGUGCCAAGCGUUAGGCGGAAUCACUGGGCUUAAAGCGUGUGUAGGUGGAUUUGUAAGUACCUUGUGAAACCCCAUGGCUCAACCAUGGAACUGCUCGGUAUACUGCGAAUCUUGAGCCACUUAGGGGCAACCGGAACAAAUGGUGGAGCGGUGAAAUGCGUAGAUAUCAUUUGGAACGCCAAUGGUGAAAACAGGUUGCUGGGAGUGUGCUGACACUGAGACACGAAAGCCAGGGGAGCGAACGGGAUUAGAUACCCCGGUAGUCCUGGCCGUAAACGAUGUCCACUAGAUCGUGGUGGCUCUGACGCCAUCAUGGUCGAAGCAAAAGUGCUAAGUGGACCGCCUGGGAAGUACGGUCGCAAGGCUA
rnacentral:rRNA from 1 species